rnacentral:rRNA from 1 species
GGUAACUUACUGGAAAACCGGAGCUAAUACCGGAUAAUAUAUUGAACCGCAUGGUUCAAUAGUGAAAGACGGUUUUGCUGUCACUUAUAGAUGGAUCCGCGCUGCAUUAGCUAGUUGGUAAGGUAACGGCUUACCAAGGCAACGAUGCGUAGCCGACCUGAGAGGGUGAUCGGCCACACUGGAACUGAGACACGGUCCAGACUCCUACGGGAGGCAGCAGGC